rnacentral:tRNA from 1 species
AGCCCUGUAGUGUAGUGGUCAAGCAUACGAGGCUCUGGACCUCGUGACAGUGGUUCGAAUCCGCUCAGGGCUA